AAUUUUGAAAGCUGCAGAGCUGUUAGAGCUGCAGAGCUGCUUCAAUCUUUAAGGGAACUGUGGAAGUAAACCAGGGGUGACAUGGAUUAUCAAAUAUUGUGGAUCAGGUGAGCUCUAGGCUUCUCAAUGCAAGGUUGUUCUUUUGGGCCACAUCUAAGAAAUCUUUGUCUAGCCAAAAGCCACAAAUAAUUUCUCAUUUUUUGGCUUCUGGAAGAUGUACAGUUAAAUGUUAUAUUUGGGACUGUUAUCUAAUUUGGUUAAAUUGCACUCUACAAUAUGGUAUUUGAAUUGAUGAAAAAUUAGUAAAUGUUAAUAUUUUUUAAAGUAGCCAAAUCUUGCAAUUUAUAUAUAAUAGAGAAGACUAGAAAAUCCCCCA
rnacentral:lncRNA from 10 species